rnacentral:rRNA from 1 species
UACAGAGGUCCCAAGCGUUGUUCGGAUUCACUGGGCGUAAAGGGUGCGUAGGUGGUGAGGUAAGUCGGAUGUGAAAUCUCCGGGCUCAACCCGGAAAUGGCAUUGGAAACUACCUUGCUUGAGGAUUUGAGGGGGGAUUGGAAUACUUGGUGUAGCAGUGAAAUGCGUAGAUAUCGUAAGGAAGACCAGUGGCGAAGGCGGGUCUCUGGACAGUUCCUGACGCUGAGGCACGAAGGUCAGGGGGAGCAAACGGG